GACGAACGCUGGCGGCGUGCUUAACACAUGCAAGUCGAACGGAAAGGCCCCUUUGGGGGUACUCGAGUGGCGAACGGGUGAGUAACACGUGAGUAACCUGCCCUUGACUUCGGGAUAACUUCAGGAAACUGGGGCUAAUACCGGAUAGGAAUCCUUGCUGCAUGGUGGGGGUUGGAAAGCUUCGGCGGUUUUGGAUGGUCUCGCGGCUUAUCAGCUUGUUGGUGGGGUAGUGGCUUACCAAGGCUUUGACGGGUAGCCGGCCUGAGAGGGCGACCGGCCACAUUGGGACUGAGAUACGGCCCAGACUCCUACGGGAGGCAGCAGUGGGGAAUAUUGCACAAUGGGCGGAAGCCUGAUGCAGCAACGCCGCGUGCGGGAUGACGGCCUUCGGGUUGUAAACCGCUUUCAGCAGGGGCGAAGCUUGUGGUGACGGUACCUGCAGAAGAAGCACCGGCUAACUACGUG
rnacentral:rRNA from 1 species